rnacentral:rRNA from 1 species
CUUGUAAGAGGUCCCGCCUGCCCACUGAUAUUCAACGGCCGCGGUAUUUUGACCGUGCUAAGGUAGCGUAAUCACUUGUCUUUUAAAUGAAGACCCGUAUGAAAGGCUUGACGAAGGCUUAACUGUCUCCUCUUUCCAGUCAAUGAAACUGAUCUCCCCGUGCAGACGCGGGGAUAAAAACAUAAGACGAGAAGACCCUAUGGAGCUUUUAGGUUGGGGCGACCCUGGGGCCCCAAACCCGAAUUCUAAUUAACAGACUCUGACCUGAUCCGGGAUUAACGAAACAAGUUACCCUAGGGAUAACAGCGCUAUCCCCUUUUAAAGUCCAUAUAGACAAGGGGGUUUACGACCUCGAUGUUGGAUCAGGACAUCCUAAUGGUGCAGCCGCUAUUAAGGGUUCGUUUGUUCAACGAUUAAAGUCGCUUAGCCGCAACAUUGAUUAUAUAAUCCGCCCGGGAAUUACGAACAAAAGUUUAAAACCCAAAGGACUUGGCGGUGCUUAACAUCCACCUAGAGGAGCCUGUUCUAUAACCGAUAAUCCCCGUUCAACCUCACCCCCCCUUGCCCGCUUAUAUACCGCCAUCGUCAGUCCACCCUAUGAAGGCCCCACAGUCGACAAAACCGG